AACGAACGCUGGCGGCAUGCCUAACACAUGCAAGUCGAACGAGACCUUCGGGUCUAGUGGCGCACGGGUGCGUAACGCGUGGGAACCUGCCCUUAGGUUCGGAAUAACUCCCCGAAAGGGGUGCUAAUACCGGAUAAUGUCUUCGGACCAAAGAUUUAUCGCCUUUGGAUGGGCCCGCGUUGGAUUAGCUAGUUGGUAGGGUAAAAGCCUACCAAGGCGACGAUCCAUAGCUGGUCUGAGAGGAUGAUCAGCCACACUGGGACUGAGACACGGCCCAGACUCCUACGGGAGGCAGCAGUGGGGAAUAUUGAACAAGGGGCAAAAGCCUGAUCCAGCAAUGCCGCGUGAGUGAUGAAGGCCUAAGGGUUGUAAAGCUCUUUUACCCGGGAUGAUAGUGACAGUACCGGGAGAAUAAGCUCCGGCUAACUCCG
rnacentral:rRNA from 1 species